AAUCGAAGCAGUGAACUUAAGCCCCAGUAAACGGCGGCCGUAACUAUAACGGUCCUAAGGUAGCGAAAUUCCUUGUCGGGUAAGUUCCGACCCGCACGAAAGGCGUAACGAUUUGGGCACUGUCUCAACAACAGACUCGGUGAAAUUGUAAUUCCGGUGAAGAUGCCGGAUACCUGCGACAGGACGGAAAGACCCCAUGGAGCUUUACUGUAGCUUGACAUUGGGUCUUGGUACUACAUGUACAGGAUAGGUGGGAGGCUUUGAAACCAGGACGCCAGUUUUGGCGGAGCCAUCCUUGGGAUACCACCCUUGUAGUACUGGGACUCUAACCAUAGGCCAUGAAUCUGGUCUUGGGACACUGUCAGGUGGGCAGUUUGACUGGGGCGGUCGCCUCCCAAAAGGUAACGGGGGCGCUCAAAGGUUCUCUCAGUACGGUCGGAAAUCGUACGUAGAGUGUAAAGGCAAAAGAGAGCUUGAUUGCAAGACAUACAGGUCGAGCAAGGAUGAAAAUCGGACUUAGUGAUCCGGUGGUUCUGCGUGGAAGGGCCAUCGCUCAACGGAUAAAAG
rnacentral:rRNA from 1 species